UACGUAGGGUGCAAGCGUUAAUCGGAAUUACUGGGCGUAAAGCGUGCGCAGGCGGUUGUGCAAGACAGAUGUGAAAUCCCCGGGCUCAACCUGGGAAUUGCAUUUGUGACUGCACGGCUAGAGUGUGUCAGAGGGGGGUAGAAUUCCACGUGUAGCAGUGAAAUGCGUAGAGAUGUGGAGGAAUACCGAUGGCGAAAGGCAGCCCCCUGGGAUAACACUGACGCUCA
rnacentral:rRNA from 1 species